rnacentral:tRNA from 1 species
GGUGGAGUGACCGAGUGGCCCAAGGUGGUGCAAUUAGGAUGCAUUGGUGCAAACCGCGCGAGUUCGAAUCUCGUCUCCAUCA